ACAAUGGGCGAAAGCCUGAUGCAGCGACGCCGUCGUGAGGGAUGACGGCCUUCGGGUUGUAAACCUCUUUCAGCAGGGACGAAGCGCAAGUGACGGUACCUGCAGAAGAAGCACCGGCUAA
rnacentral:rRNA from 1 species